AGUAGCGUGCAGGAUGACGGCCCUAUGGGUUGUAAACUGCUUUUAUAAGGGAAUAAAGUGAGUCUCGUGAGACUUUUUGCAUGUACCUUAUGAAUAAGGACCGGCUAAUUCCGUGCCAGCAGCCGCGGUAAUACGGAAGGUCCGGGCGUUAUCCGGAUUUAUUGGGUUUAAAGGGAGCGUAGGCCGGAGAUUAAGCGUGUUGUGAAAUGUAGAUGCUCAACAUCUGCACUGCAGCGCGAACUGGUUUCCUUGAGUACGCACAAAGUGGGCGGAAUUCGUGGUGUAGCGGUGAAAUGCUUAGAUAUCACGAAGAACUCCGAUUGCGAAGGCAGCUCACUGGAGCGCAACUGACGCUGAAGCUCGAAAGUGCGGGUAUCGAACAGGAUUAGAUACCCUGGUAGUCCGCACGGUAAACGAUGGAUGCCCGCUGUUGGUCUGAGUAGGUCAGCGGCCAAGCGAAAGCAUUAAGCAUCC
rnacentral:rRNA from 1 species